CUAGUUUCCACACCUGCUUGGCACACCUGAAUCGCAUCAUGUCGAUAAGCACUACUUUAUAAGCCUGGUGUUUCUCUUCAGUCACCAUGGGAUUGUUAUGUUGAGCACUCCUGGUGGAACUCAGCUCUGAUCUGCCUGCUCCCGUCUGCCUCGCUGAUGCGACACGAUCUGUACCGACUCUCCUCACCGAUCAGCCCCACGGAGGAUCCCCUGCCCCUGCUCUGUCCAUUCUGAAGUUGCUGUGGUUCAAUAGACUGUUUGAACUUACUGGCUGUCUCUAGUCUGCUUCUUGGUUCUGUAUACCAAUUCCUGACAAUUCACAGAGGGGGCUACAACUGCAUUUGAUCGUGCAAUCCUGUGCUGUAAAAUGACAAAACUGAACCUGAACCCCAAUGCUGGUGCUGUGGUCAGCUCCUGCUUCUUGUCAUGAAGGCGUCUGAGCAGAGAAUACCUGAGAACCCAAGAAAAUCAGCCAUCCAUGUGAUCACCCGCCUGAACAGAGGACAUGUUACAACAAAGAAACAGCAGAGCACAUAAUGCAUUUCCUUUUUUGGAAACAGAUAUAUUGUUAAAAAUAGAAUUGUCAUUGUUUUUCCUCAGGAGAAAUAAAAUAAUACCAGUUCUGUACAA